rnacentral:rRNA from 1 species
CAGUCGCCGCGGUAAUACGUAGGGUGCAAGCGUUAAUCGGAAUUACUGGGCGUAAAGCGUGCGCAGGCGGUUAUAUAAGACAGAUGUGAAAUCCCCGGGCUCAACCUGGGAACUGCAUUUGUGACUGUAUAGCUAGAGUACGGCAGAGGGGGAUUGAAUUCCGCGUGUAGCAGUGAAAUGCGUAGAUAUGCGGAGGAACACCGAUGGCGAAGGCAAUCCCCUGGGCCUGUACUGACGCUCAUGCACGAAAGCGUGGGGAGCAAACAGGAUUAGAUACCCGGGUAGUCCCUGUCUCUUAUAC